GCGCACGGGUGAGUAACACGUGGAUGAUCUGCCUCUAUGAUGGGGAUAACAGUUGGAAACGACUGCUAAUACCGAAUACGCUCAUGAUGAACGUUGUGAGGAAAGGUGGCCUCUGCUUGCAAGCUAUCGCAUAGAGAUGAGUCCGCGUCCCAUUAGCUCGUUGGUGGGGUAACGGCCUACCAAGGCAACGAUGGGUAGCCGAUCUGAGAGGAUGAUCGGCCACACUGGAACUGAAACACGGUCCAGACUCC
rnacentral:rRNA from 1 species